rnacentral:misc_RNA from 1 species
GAUGAAGAACGUAGUGAAAUGAGAUAAGUAAUGUGAAUUGCAGAAUUCAGUGAAUCAUCGAAUCUUUGAACGCACAUUGCGCCCGCCAGUAUUCUGGCGGGCAUGCCUGUUCGAGCGUCAUUUCAACCAUCAAGCCCCCGGCUUGUGUUGGGGACCUGCGGCUGCCGCAGGCCCUGAAAACCAGUGGCGGGCUCGCUGUCACACCGAGCGUAGUAGAUUUUCAUCUCGCUCAGGGCGUGCUGCGGGUUCCGGCCGUAAAAAGCCUUAUUUACCCAAGGUUGACCUCGGAUCAGGUAGGAAGACCCGCUGAACUUAAGCAUAUCAAUAAGCGGAGGA